rnacentral:rRNA from 1 species
AGUGAACGCUGGCGGUAGGCCUAACACAUGCAAGUCGAACGGCAGCACAGUAAGAGCUUGCUCUUACGGGUGGCGAGUGGCGGACGGGUGAGGAAUACAUCGGAAUCUACUUUUUCGUGGGGGAUAACGUAGGGAAACUUACGCUAAUACCGCAUACGACCUACGGGUGAAAGCAGGGGAUCUUCGGACCUUGCGCGAUUGAAUGAGCCGAUGUCGGAUUAGCUAGUUGGCGGGGUAAAGGCCCACCAAGGCGACGAUCCGUAGCUGGUCUGAGAGGAUGAUCAGCGACACUGGAACUGAGACACGGUCCAGACUCCUACGGGAGGCAGCAGUGGGGAAUAUUGGACAAUGGGCGCAAGCCUGAUCCAGCCAUACCGCGUGGGUGAAGAAGGCCUUCGGGUUGUAAAGCCGUUUUGUUGGGAAAGAAAAGCAGCAGGUUAAUACCACGCUGUUCUGACGGUACCCAAAGAAUAAGCACCGGCUAACUUCGUG